GACGAACGCUGGCGGCGUGCUUAACACAUGCAAGUCGAACGGAAAGGCCCUGCUUUUGUGGGGUGCUCGAGUGGCGAACGGGUGAGUAACACGUGAGUAACCUGCCCUUGACUUUGGGAUAACUUCAGGAAACUGGGGCUAAUACCGGAUAGGAGCUCUUGCUGCAUGGUGGGGGUUGGAAAGUUUCGGCGGUUGGGGAUGGACUCGCGGCUUAUCAGCUUGUUGGUGGGGUAGUGGCUUACCAAGGCUUUGACGGGUAGCCGGCCUGAGAGGGUGACCGACCACAUUGGGACUGAGAUACGGCCCAGACUCCUACGGGAGGCAGCAGUGGGGAAUAUUGCACAAUGGGCGGAAGCCUGAUGCAGCAACGCCGCGUGCGGGAUGACGGCCUUCGGGUUGUAAACCGCUUUCGCCUGUGACGAAGCGUGAGUGACGGUAAUGGGUAAAGAAGCACCGGCUAACUACGUG
rnacentral:rRNA from 1 species